rnacentral:rRNA from 1 species
CCCGCUGAACUUAAGCAUAUCAGUAAGCGGAGGAAAAGAAACUAACAAGGAUUCCCUGAGUAACGGCGAGUGAAACGGGAAAAGCUCAAAUUUAAAAUCUGGUGCCCUUGAAUGGGUGUCCGAAUUGUGAUUGAGAGGGUCUUCUUUUGAUGCGGUACCGACAUGGCCAAAGUUCUCUGGAAAGGGACAACAAAGAGGGUGACAUUCCCGUCUGGGUCAUGGGUGCUCGUCAGUAUAAAGGAGGCUCUAAGAGUCGGAUUGUUUGGGAAUGCAGUCCAAAAUGGGUGGUACAUUUCAUCUAAAGCUAAAUAUAGGCAAGAGACCGAUAGCGAACAAGUACCGUGAGGGAAAGAUGAAAAGAACUUUGAAAAGAGAGUUAAAUAGUACGUGAAAUUGUUAAAAGGGAAACGAUUGAGACCAGUGAUGUGGACAGUCUUUGAGUGUUCCUUUCGAGGGGCAUGAUGUUAUAGGCUGUUCACGAGUCGACGCUCCUUUUGCACCUUGGAAAAGACGAUGAGAAAGGUGGCUCCACCUUCGGGUGGCUGCUUUAUAGUCUCAUCGGGAUACAAGGGACGACGCGCGGGAGGAGACAGGUAGACCUGAAAGGGUCACGUCGACGAAAUGGUCUUAAACGACCCGUCUUGAAACACGG